rnacentral:rRNA from 1 species
CACGGGGGAGCAAGCGUUGUUCGGAUUUACUGGCGUAAAGGGCGCGUAGGCGGUCAGCACAAGUCAGUUGUGAAAUCUCCGGGCUUAACUCGGAAAGGUCAACUGAUACUGUGCGACUAGAGUGCGGAAGGGGCAACUGGAAUUCUCGGUGUAGCGGUGAAAUGCGUAGAUAUCGAGAGGAACACCUGCGGCGAAGGCGGGUUGCUGGGCCGACACUGACGCUGAUGCGCGAAAGCCAGGGAGCGAACGGG